GACGAACGCUGGCGGCGUGCCUAAUACAUGCAAGUCGAACGCAGUGGGGACGGGUGAGUAACACGUGGGUAACCUCCCAUCAGAGGGGAUAAAACUUGGACACAGGUGCUAAACCGAUACUGAUGGAUGGACCCGCGGUGAAUUAGCGAGUUGGUGAGGAAACGGCUCACCAAGGCCACGAUGCAUAGCGGACCUGGGGGGGUGAUCGGCAACACGGGGACUGAGACACGGCCAAGACUCCUACGGGGGGAAGCGGGAGGGAAUCUUCGGAAAUGGACGAAAGUCUGACCGAGCAACGCCGGGUGAGUGAAGAAGGUUUUCGGAUCGUAAAACUCUUUUGUUAGAGAAGCGGUAUCUAACCAGAAAGCCACGGCUAACUACGUGCCAGCGACCGCGUAAUAC
rnacentral:rRNA from 1 species